AAGUCACGGUCAUAGCUGUGAGAUGCAUGGCUUCUUAAAGCAGUUAAAGUUAUUAAUUUAGAAAGUCAAGUUUACUGCACUCACAGUUUUUUAUGAUUUUAAUGGAUAAAAACUCAAGUCCUAAAUAUAUACUUUGGAUGUAUGAAAUACAGUGCAUCAUGAAUAAACACAAUACGUUCAUGACUGAAAUUUUUAUUUCACUUUUCCUUUGUAAAGUCUGAAUCUAGCAACACAGGUAAAUCUGAUGACGUGACGACUUCAGCGACAUUUAAAGUAUUAGCGAUCUACUUUAUUUGGUGACCAAUGCGCUUCAGCUUGUGGUCUUCAUCAGGGUCAUAAAGUCGGAAUCUAGACAGAUUUUUUUGGCCUUCUCUGAUUGGAUUAAACCUGCCAGGCCCUGGAGUAACAGUUUAUGUUUGAGCGAAGAACAAAAUGAACAUGUAUAUGUAAAAGAAGUGAGCAGCUGAGCAGAAAGCCCUCUGCUGUCAUGCAUCACAUCAUAUCCUCUGCAGAAGACAGGUAAGUGCUCUCUGCUGGAGCAAUCACAUCUAGUGGGCACACCUGUGUGAGGCUGCCUCUGUGUGUGUGUGUGUGUGUGUGUGUCCCUCACACUUGUAUGGGGGAGGGGGGUUGACCUGUUGGGUACCUCAGUUCAACUUCUCAUUAAAGAAACCUGAUUGGAAACACCUGCAGUAGGAAGGACCUAUAAAGACAACAGCAUGUCCUGAACUCUUGACUCAGAAGCACACUGGUGUUUGGUUGGAGUAGCUGGUGUGUGGGGACUUGUGGAUGUGUGAGUGCUUUGCAUGCACAGUCCAGCUGGAGGGUUUGUGAGGACACAGCAAGUGCAGCUGCAGCAGUCAUGGCUGCGUGGUUCCUAAUUGCAAGGUUUUUACUGCUUUAUGUUUUGAGUGAUGUAGACUACUCCUCAGCUUUUCCAAGAGCCACAAGUCCUGUGCAGCCUAGAGUAUGGCAGGGUGGAAGAGGGGAACACGAUGUGUAUGGAAACCCUCGUCCUUUCCAGUACAUGAGGGCUCUGAGGCCGACGGAUCCAAAGAUCUACCCUAAUGUGCGUGAUCGGGUCCAAGUCGAAUCCCCGAGAUCGUAUCAGCCACGCUCUAAUAUUCCCACCCACAGAUCCAUGGAAACAUCUCCGCUCCAGCCUCGAGCACACAGAAACCACCUUGUGGCCAAGCCCAGGAGCUUUGACUUAGCCCUGAGGAUCCCUUUUGCUCAUUCUCGUGAUGGUGCUAAUCCUCCUCGGUACGGACCGAGUGGCCUUAUUAUUGACAACAGUUUUAAUAAUCCCCGCAGACAGCAUGGCCAUGAUGCUUCCAAGCUGGGCUACCAGUUCAGCUUAUCUGUUCCCUUUUCACGUGGUUCUCCACGCCACCCAGGUGGCCACAAACAUCACGGUGGACAUCAACACAGGCCUGAGGAAGACUAUUUGGGUCAUCAAAGAGGGCCGGUUCAUGUGCCAGUUCGUCCAAGGCCAUACCCCGACGAGCAUCAUCGUGAGCAUGAUCGCGAGCAUCGUGAUGAAGGCCGCCCUGGGCGGGAGUUUGCAUUUCCAGAGCCAGAUGGACCAGAACACCCAUCAUGGCUGCGCCAUCCUCAAAGAUAUGUCGACCCUUACAGUGGAUACUACAACUCCCAGAUGAAGCCUACGUGGAAUGACUACUGGUGGCAUUACCGUGGACCUCACUGGGGUCAUGUAAAGCAUCCAUCUUCUGACCCUUGGCCAAAUUUCCAUCGGUCAGCUUCAGACUGACAUGGAUGGAAGAGACAAGCCAAACUCGCAGGGCACAGCUUUACAGUGCAACAAGGAUGAUCUCCUGUAUUUAUCUGAAAUAAAGUGUGAAAGCUCUCCUGCAGUUUCUCUUGUCUUCUGUCAGGUUGAAAGAAUAGCUGAACACUUGGCUUGAGGUUAAUCUUUCAAGAGCUAAUCAAGAUUCAUGUGCUUGUAAGCAAGAAGCAACAAGUCUAUGCCCAAAUGUUAGAAAGCCACUGACUCUGCAGCUCAUUAAAUUUAUGGGUGAUGUGCAUUUUAAACUGCCUCUAGAGCUGUAACUGAGGCCAUUUUACAAUUAUUGCAGGCUUGACACUGAAUCAAGUGUCCCGUCUUUCAGAAGCUGCUUUUGUACAAAUUUACAGCCACUCCAUUUUAGGUAGAAACUCCAAUCUGCCAUUGAAUGACACUUCAGUUGAAUUUCUGCUCUGAGGAGUCUCAAUCUGGGAUCGCUGCCUGCCAAGACAAGUUUACCUUCAGCGCACCCAAACUGUCGGUUUUGGCAGUGUAUCGGCUGGUUUCUCACUUACAGCUUGAAACCUGUUCUCCAAGAUGGUUCUUGGCUGCAGAGGAUGACUCUAAAGUUUUCUCCCUGGUGAAUGAUGACAAGCAGGUUUUGGGAAGAUGAUUCUAAGGGGUAAAUAAGACCUGUCCCUUCCUGAGCCUUUAUCAAAUGCAGUGGAGCACUGAGGUGUUUCAUUUGGCAGUUGCUGAAAGAAGACUUUCUGCUUCACCCAGUAUUCUGAUUGGCUGGCCUUGGCUAAAUCCCUUUUAGGAAAAUAUGCAAUCCUCAGAUGAUUACAGUAUUCACCAAUAUGUUGCCUCUAGACGAGCCCCUAAAAUUGAGGCUGUUCAGUUGGAGUCUGCCUGAUGUGAAAUCAAACGCUGCAGGCUCUCAAGCUUUUAACACCUGCCACACCACUACUAGCAUAUCAUUCAAGAACCUUGCAUUUUCCUCCAAAUCAGACUCGAAAACCGAAGUGCAUUGGAUCUAAAACAAAACUGUAAGUGGUAGUCUGGUCGGGUACCAGUUUCAGCCCUGUUAGAGACAAUGGGCAAAAUCCUGAUUGGCCUAGAACUGGCAAGAUCUUGAGGAUCACAUUUGUGUAUGGGUGAAACAAUCCAUUUACUAGAAGUCAUCCCUUGGAGAUGGACAAAUUUGACGAUUUACCACCACUGCUUACCAUGAGAAAUGCCACAUUGUCAG
ensembl:lncRNA